AUCGCUUCUCGGCCUUUUGGCUAAGAUCAAGUAUAGUUUAUCAUACUCUAUUGAUCCAGUAAAAGUUCCAUAGGAAUUCCUAAUUAAAGGUCACUUAGGUAUUUUGCUUUUAAAUAUACUUACGUUGA
ensembl:snRNA U2 U2 spliceosomal RNA